AUUGAACGCUGGCGGCAUGCUUUACACAUGCAAGUCGAACGGCAGCACAGGGAGCUUGCUCCUGGGUGGCGAGUGGCGAACGGGUGAGUAAUGUAUCGGAACGUGCCUGGUAGUGGGGGAUAACUACUCGAAAGAGUGGCUAAUACCGCAUGAGAUCUUUGGAUGAAAGCGGGGGACCUUCGGGCCUCGUGCUACUGGAGCGGCCGGUAUCAGAUUAGGUUGUUGGUGGGGUAAAGGCCUACCAAGCCUGCGAUCUGUAGCUGGUCUGAGAGGACGACCAGCCACACUGGGACUGAGACACGGCCCAGACUCCUACGGGAGGCAGCAGUGGGGAAUUUUGGACAAUGGGCGCAAGCCUGAUCCAGCAAUGCCGCGUGCAGGACGAAGGCCUUCGGGUUGUAAACUGCUUUUGUACAGAACGAAAAGUCUCUGGCUAAUAUCUAGAGAUCAUGACGGUACUGUAAGAAUAAGCACCGGCUAACUACGUG
rnacentral:rRNA from 1 species